AAGUAUAUGGGUUUAUAUCAACUAGGAUUACAAGGGCUGAUGUUUUGCUUAUCAUACCAAGGGAUGCUUCAUACUGGUACAAACUCGGCCAAGAUGAAAUCUUGUUCAUCAGAUGUUUACAAGUACCUGCUACAUCUCCAGCUUCAAUUAUUACAAGUUGGACAAAAGAAAUGAUCAGCAGCCUCAUGUUUAGUGUUUUAGUAAUCCU
rnacentral:lncRNA from 1 species